CAGCAGGCAACCUGCAGAUCUGAGAUCUGGAAACAUUGCUCCGGUGCGAGCGGUUGUGGUCUCUCGCUUCCUCUUCCAGUUUGGUAGAAAGAGAACAGAAGACUUGGAGUUGCUGCGUGGCUUGAAGACGCCUUUUUUUUUUUUUUUUAAUUUAAUGAGCUAGUUGCUGAAGUAAAUGUUGCAAUUUGCAGUUAACCCUGGUCACCUGCCCCAGGCUUUCUGAGUCGAGGUUUUCCACUGCUUAUGUGCCACCUCUCCCGCGUUCAAAGGUCUCUUUCGCUCCGAGACCCGUCCGUGCAGCAAGGGAAUUCCUCGUCCCUCCAGCAGGUGUCAAAGGUCUGGGUGCCGACGGGGGACCAGUCAGGCUCAACUUCAUUCACUGGGUCAGGGGCACCUUGCCCUGGAGGCUGGGAUGGCGCUGGGCGAGCACAGAGUGGCUCAGAAUGGUAAACCUCCGCGGGUCCUCGGGUCCGCGGGUGACGCAUUCAGUAACAUUCACAGUUUGGGAAAAGCUGCUUGGAAGAGUAGGAAUGGUGUGUAUGACAUAAGUAACACGAUGAUACUCAUGAUAACGUUAGCAGCGAUGCCUGGGAGGCCUCCCCAGAUGAGAGGCUGAUGAAGGGGCUGAAUUACAGAGAGAGGCCGCUCUGGCGUCGCUAAGGAGUUUGGAUUCAGACAAGCCCGCUCCUGUGUGAAUCCUGAUCCUGCCAGAACAGGGAGCAUAACCCCCAGAGCAUGGAUUCCCAGAAAGCUCCUGCAAGGAGCAGAGUUAAGGUGAGCACAUCGGAGUGGGUGUGAACUAUUUCUCAGCGGCCUGUCAGAUGGCCUGAAGCCCUCUGCCUGUGGCUGAGUGUAUGUCACAGGAGAGACCCCCAAGCCUGUGCUGUGGCCCAGAGCUUCUGAGUUCAUCAAGACUAGGGAUCCUUCUCCCAGGAAGCCCAUGAGAUGACAGUAGUCCACAGACAAAUUGCUCAAGUAAGAUUCAUCAUGGUGAAUGAGUCACCUCAGCAGGCCCUUCACACAGGGCCCUUGACCCUCCUCCAUGGAACUGGUACUCUUGGUGACUGCAUCUUUAGUAGGUUUGACUGUUAAACUGACCUGAUUUGGAAAUUGAAUGAAGGCCUCUGACAAUUGGAAUAAACAUCUGGUGAGGUUA